UACGUAGGGUGCGAGCGUUGUCCGGAAUUAUUGGGCGUAAAGAGCUCGUAGGCGGUCUGUCGCGUCGAUCGUGAAAACUUGGGGCUUAACCCUGAGCUUGCGGUCGAUACGGGCAUGACUGGAGUUCGGCAGGGGAGACUGGAAUUCCUGGUGUAGCGGUGAAAUGCGCAGAUAUCAGGAGGAACACCGGUGGCGAAGGCGGGUCUCUGGGCCGAUACUGACGCUGAGGAGCGAAAGCGUGGGUAGCGAACAGG
rnacentral:rRNA from 1 species